UCACAUCAGCUGGAUAUCAGAGGCAUCUAUGUACAAAUACCAUGAUGGUUUAGGACUGUCUGUGAAAACCAGAAGCCAGCCUAGAUCCCUGGAGCACACGAGCCUUACUGAUAAUGAAACUCUUGGUUCUGUCUCAUUGAGCUCCCUGAUUUGUCUGCUUUUCCAUCUCCUGAGACACCUGCCACCCUAGUUCUUAGGCAUGGGGAAUUAACACAGCAUUAUUGUCCAAAGAGACAGCAAGACGUCCUCUCUUUUGUGAAUCACUGGCAUGUGCUCCUCAUGGCUGUUUUUGCUUCUUCCCUUUCUCCUACAUGAUGCAGCCAGGAAAGGAGGACACAUAAAUCACCUUUUCUGUGGCAUAUAGACAACACUGCAGACCAGCCUAACAUGAUCCAGGACAAAGGGCAGUUUCAUAAAGAGUUCAAGAAAAAUUUGGAGCCAUAAUUCUAAGGACAGCAGCUGUCCCAUACAGGCUUGAAGCUAUCCUCAUCUUGAGUACGUGGCUUGAUGAUCUUCUUCUGGCAGGAGGCAGUAGGAGUUUUUGGGAAAAACAAAUUGAAUGGGCAAGUUUAAAACACAUUUUAAAACACCCCUAAUUUUCCUUUAUUAUUGUUUGUUUUGUGGUACCUAUUUCUGUUUGUUUUUGUUUUUUUUUCAAAAUUCAUUAUUUUUCAGAUAAGUGCAGUCUCUGGAUAUAGUAGGAAAAAGCCUCAGUCUCAUUCCUGGUCUAGCAGAACUCCCCGAUUUUUUCACUGAAAAAUGUUUAAUGUCACUGCUUCUCCCAGUCCAGCAUCACUGAGUUAAUCUGCUAAGUCAUUUGGGAACAAAGGAAAAAAAGGUGAAAGCAUGAAAUUUUAAACUAUUAAGUGAGGCUUUAACUGUAUCCUUUAUUACCCCUUUAGCUG